rnacentral:lncRNA from 1 species
AACUCUAAAAGUAACCAGAAAAGGAUUUUAAAAGGGGCCGGGCUGUGGCGCAGCUGUUGAGCAGCUGCCUUAAAUCACUCUGGCCAUGAGGUCAUGAGUUCGAGGCCAGCCCAUGGCGGGGUGAGCACCCAUCAAUUAAAAAUUAAAAAUAGCCCCUGCUCGUUGCUGACCUAACAACCCGAAAGAUAGUUGCAUCUAUCAAGUAGGAGAUAAGGUACCACUUAUAAAGUGGGGAGGCAAGAUUAACUAAUUUACGACCUGGAAUGAGGAAGUGCCGUCAGUGUGGAUGAUGAAGCAGCUGCUCCCCCCUGUGGCCAGAAUCGAACAUCCCCUCAGAAGAAGGUUAACUUGCCUCUGCGUGUGUCUCUCAGUCUCUGUUUGAUGUGUUUAUGGGCAUUGAAUGUUUGCCCUAUGUGUGUUAUAAUGUGAUCCGCUCUGAGUCCCCUUCGGGGUGAGAAGGGCGGAAUAUAAAUACUGUAAAUAAAUAAAUAAAUAAAAAGUACCACCUCCCAGCAGCAAAGAACUGGUGGGAUCACAAACCUGCAAAAGUCUUGGAAAAUGAGCACGCAAAGAUACUGUGGGAGUUCCGAAUCCAGACUGACAAAGUUCUGGAACACAACACACCAGACAUCACAGUUGUGGAAAAGAACAAGGUUUGGAUCAUUGAUGUUGCCAUCCCAGGUGACAGUCACAUAGAUGAAAAACAACAGGAAAAACUCAGCUGCUAUCAGGACCUCAAGAUUGAACUUCAAAGACUCUGGCAGAAACCAGUACAGGUGGUCCCAGUGGUGAUGGGCACACUGGGUGCCGUGCCAAAAGAUCUCAGCCGGCAUUUGGAAACAAUAGACAUUGACAAAAUCACCAUCUGCCAGCUGCAAAAGGCCACCCUACUGGGAUCUGCACACAUCAUCAGAAAAUACAUCACACAGUCCUAGACACUUGGGAAGUGUUCGACUUGUGGUUUUGCAAAACGAAAUCCAGCAUAUCUAUCUUGUUUGCUGUGCCAUACAACGUCGUUGUGUUGAUAAUAAUAAUAAUAAUAAUAUCAGAGUAAUUUAAAAUAAUGAGGAAUUGUGGAAAAUCCUUAGCAGGGUGAUAGUUAGUUUGCUUUCCAUGCCCAUUGGGUAGAGAGUUCUAGUUUGGGGUUUUGCCAGCACAUUGGGAUUGAUCCCCCCUCCUUUUCCCCCUUUCCUCACUUAAAGUUUCUUGCAAAGGCAGGAGAGGUUUUGCAAGGGAGAUCCUGCAGAGGCAAAGCCCUGCAAUUAUCAGGCUCUCUCCCUUCUGCAAGCCCGGGUUUAUCCUCCCUCCACUUUUGCAAGCCUGGGUUUAAGCACAGGAAGAUGAAGAUCCAGGCUUUCUCCACUUCUGGAAGCUGGUUUAAGAGCCCCAUAGAAAGCAACCACUCCAAAACG